AUUGAACGCUGGCGGCAGGCCUAACACAUGCAAGUCGAACGGUAACAGGAAGAAGCUUGCUUCUUUGCUGACGAGUGGCGGACGGGUGAGUAAUGUCUGGGAAACUGCCUGAUGGAGGGGGAUAACUACUGGAAACGGUAGCUAAUACCGCAUAACGUCGCAAGACCAAAGAGGGGGACCUUCGGGCCUCUUGCCCUCGGAUGUGCCCAGAUGGGAUUAGCUAGUAGGUGGGGUAACGGCUCACCUAGGCGACGAUCCCUAGCUGGUCUGAGAGGAUGACCAGCCACACUGGAACUGAGACACGGUCCAGACUCCUACGGGAGGCAGCAGUGGGGAAUAUUGCACAAUGGGCGCAAGCCUGAUGCAGCCAUGCCGCGUGUAUGAAGAAGGCCUUCGGGUUGUAAAGUACUUUCAGCGGGGAGGAAGGGAGUAAAGUUAAUACCUUUGCUCAUUGACGUUACCCGAAGAAGAAGCACCGGCUAACUCCGUG
rnacentral:rRNA from 1 species